GACGAACGCUGGCGGCGUGCCUAAUACAUGCAAGUUGAGCGCUGAAGGUUGGUACUUGUACCAACUGGAUGAGCAGCGAACGGGUGAGUAACGCGUGGGGAAUCUGCCUUUGAGCGGGGGACAACAUUUGGAAACGAAUGCUAAUACCGCAUAAAAACUUUAAACACAAGUUUUAAGUUUGAAAGAUGCAAUUGCAUCACUCAAAGAUGAUCCCGCGUUGUAUUAGCUAGUUGGUGAGGUAAAGGCUCACCAAGGCGAUGAUACAUAGCCGACCUGAGAGGGUGAUCGGCCACAUUGGGACUGAGACACGGCCCAAACUCCUACGGGAGGCAGCAGUAGGGAAUCUUCGGCAAUGGACGAAAGUCUGACCGAGCAACGCCGCGGGAGUGAAGAAGGUUUUCGGAUCGUAAAACUCUGUUGGUAAAGAAGAACGUUGGUGAGAGUGGAAAGCUCAUCAAGUGACGGUAACUACCCAGAAAGGGACGGCUAACUACGUG
rnacentral:rRNA from 1 species